rnacentral:misc_RNA from 1 species
AAGUCAUAACAAGGUUUCCGUAGGUGAACCUGCGGAAGGAUCAUUAUUGGUUUGGCCUUUGGCCUUAUACAAUCUACACACUGUGAACCGUGGCUUCGGCCCAAACUUGAAGUCUUGAAUGUAACAUAUGAAAAACAAAAUACAACUUUUAACAACGGAUCUCUUGGCUCUC